UACGUAGGGGGCAAGCGUUGUCCGGAUUUAUUGGGCGUAAAGAGCUCGUAGGCGGUUUGGUAAGUCAGGUGUGAAAUCUCGGAGCUUAACUCCGAAACUGCAUUCGAUACUGCCGUGCUUGAGGACUGGAGAGGAGACUGGAAUUUACGGUGUAGCGGUGAAAUGCGUAGAUAUCGUAAGGAAGACCAGUGGCGAAGGCGGGUCUCUGGACAGUUCCUGACGCUGAGGCACGAAGGUCAGGGGAGCAAACGGG
rnacentral:rRNA from 1 species